rnacentral:ncRNA from 1 species
UGACCUCAGAUCAGGCAAGGCUACCCGCUGAAUUUAAGCAUAUUAAUAAGCGGAGGAAAAGAAACUAACAAGGAUUCCCCUAGUAAUGGCGAAUGAAGCGGGAACAGCUCANAUUUAAAAUCUCCGUUGCUUGCAACGGCGAAUUGUAGUUUCGAGAAGCACUUUCUCGGCGGAUCCGAGGUCGUCCAAGUUGCUUGGAACAGCACGUCGUAGAGGGUGAAAACCCCGUCUGCGGCGACCUCGGCCGUUCACGAUGUGCUUUCGACGAGUCGGGUUGUUUGGGAAUGCAGCCCAAAAUGGGUGGUAAACUCCAUCUAAAGCUAAAUAUUGGCACGAGACCGAUAGCGAACAAGUACCGUGAGGGAAAGAUGAAAAGCACUUUGAAAAGAGAGUUAAAAAGUACGUGAAACCGUUAAAAGGGAAACGAAUGGGGUUAGCAAUGCGUCGUGCGAGAUUCAGCCGGUGGGUGGGCCAGGCGGGCGGUUGGCGGAUCUGAAUGGACCGCUGCCGUUCGGGUUGGUUUCCCGACCGUCGCACUUCUCGCAGGCGCGCGCCAACGUCGG